CAGCCGCCACGGGAAUACGUAGGUGGCAAGCGUUGUCCGGAAUUAUUGGGCGUAAAGCGCGCGCAGGUGGUUUAAUAAGUCUGAUGUGAAAGCCCACGGCUCAACCGUGGAGGGUCAUUGGAAACCGUUAAACUUGAGUGCAGGAGAGGAAAGUGGAAUUCCUAGUGUAGCGGUGAAAUGCGUAGAUAUUAGGAGGAAUACCAGUGGCGAAGGCGACUUUCUGGACUGCAACUGACACUGAGGCACGAAAGCGUGGGGAGCAAACAGGAUUAGAUACCCCUGUAGUCCCUGUCUCUUAUAC
rnacentral:rRNA from 1 species